rnacentral:ncRNA from 12 species
CCUUCGAUAGCUCAGUUGGUAGAGCGGUGGACUGUAGUAGUUUAAAAUCUUAGUCGCAGUAAUCCAUAGGUCGCUGGUUCAAAUCCGGCUCGAAGGA